AAAUCAUAAGAAAUAACAAGAAAGCGCAUCUCAGUCUACUUUUAAAGUGCAGCAGCUGCUUUCUAGCACUCCUGUGCAGUGUUUGAGGAUGGAAGGGGCUGCUGCAGGUCUGGCACAUCAUGUCAACUGUUUGCAGAGAGUCGCGAGGACAAAGGAAAACAAAAUAAUAAAUCAACACUCAGCAACAGUGAGAUCUGUGUCUGACCCUCUUUGAAGAUAUUUGUGGCAAACAUCUUUCAGUCCACUUGGAUGGCAAUGAGAAUCCACUGUCUGAAUGAAAGCUUGAUUCAUAUCCCAGUGUUUAAAAGUUCAUCUUUCUGAACUGGUGUUCU
rnacentral:lncRNA from 1 species